rnacentral:rRNA from 1 species
AUUGAACGCUGGCGGCAUGCCUUACACAUGCAAGUCGAACGGCAGCACGGACUUCGGUCUGGUGGCGAGUGGCGAACGGGUGAGUAAUGCAUCGGAACGUACCCGGUAGUGGGGGAUAACUACCCGAAAGGGUGGCUAAUACCGCAUAUACUGUGCGCAGGAAAGCAGGGGACCUUCGGGCCUUGUGCUACCGGAGCGGCCGAUGUCAGAUUAGGUAGUUGGUGGGGUAACGGCCUACCAAGCCUGCGAUCUGUAGCGGGUAUGAGAGGAUGAUCCGCCACACUGGAGCUGAGACACGGCCCAGACUCCUACGGGUGGCAGCAGUGGGGAAUUUUGGACAAUGGGCGCAAGCCUGAUCCAGCCAUGCCGCGUGAGUGAAGAAGGCCUUCGGGUUGUAAAGCUCUUUCGGACGGAAAGAAAUCGUGCAGGCUAAUACCCUGCGCGGAUGACGGUACCGUCAUAAGAAGCACCGGCUAACUACGUGCCAGCCGCCGCCGUAACAC